UUUGGUCAAAAAUGUCAACACUGAUUAUGAGAAUAGAUGGAUUUUUCUUUUACGGAACCGUUUCGGUGUGAAGCAAAUAUUCAAUUUUUUAAAAGGAGGACGGCUUCUUUUUGGAUUAUUCUGCACCUUUGGGCUUUUACUCUGCAGACUGUAGAUUAGUCAUGUAACCUUUUAUCAAUUUAAUGAAACAACUGUGAGCUUUGUGGGAGAAGUCUCCAGAAGGUUGGCAAUUCUCUUUGGCUUUGAUUGAGACAACCAUGACACAAUGAUUUCCUAUGUGGAGUGUUUGGGUGGAGAAGGUGCAGGGCCCGGGGUGGCAUCUCGCUGCUGGAAUUUGGGGCCCGAUGAGGAGCUGGAUGAGCUUCUUCCACGCAAGAUGGCAACCCUUCAGCCGAAGACACAGGGCAGUCUUCGGCGACGUCUGCUGAGCGCUAAAAUCCAUCAACACCAUGAAGCUAUUUGGAGGAGUCACGCAGAUAGCGCCGGAUGGCCACCCGCAGGCCACGAGAAGACCCUCCCUCCUCAUUCUCAAUAUUGCGGCCCCUGGUUGUAUGCCCAGCACUGCACACCACGACCCCAAAUCCACGCAACCGUCUCUUCACAGGCUCACAAUAAAUUCUUCUUAACUCCAGAAGUGAAUGAAAAGCAAAGUCUGCCAUCCCAUCAGGUGCCUCGCCCUGCUCUCGCCCAGUGGCGCCGGACAAGCUUUUGCCCUCCCAGCCCACAGCCCCGACCUGGUUAUGACCGUCCUGGCUCCAGACCUCAGACACUAACGCCACCUUUCAGGAAGUCAGACAUGCCGCCUCAGGUCCACUACCAUCCUAGCAGGAAGUGCAAGAACAAAUUAUUCUGCUUUAAAAAGCAGCAAAGCUCCGAGCAGGAAGCCACACCUCUUUUACACAAAGCAGGGGAUGGGGACAAGUGGCCUGUUCACUACACUACCCAGAAUCCUAAGCAGGGUGUGCUCUUCAUCCCUGAAAAAAUAAGAUCCAGUGGUCCUGUGGACUUGCAAGUACAUUACGGACUAACCCAGAAUGGAGGCAGCAUACCGACCACCUCACUUCUCUGCAACUCGGCCCCUGACUUCUGCACACCCUCUGGAAUCCACCAAUCAGAGGGCACUGUGCGCAGACGCUGGUGGGACAAAAGCAGAAAGAUGAGGUCCACAUUCUGGGACUUUCUCUCUCAGUCGUGCUUUUCUGUUUGUCUCAAGUUGUCUGUUCGGAGGAGAAAGUCCUCAGUGUCCUCAUAUGAAGAGGAAACCAUCAUGGACAACAACACGCCACCUCUUACCCCACUUGUUCUCAACCCUGUUGAUCUCACUGCCUGUUGGAAUAUCUUCACUUGUGAGCUGGAGCUUGGAAUGAAAACGGAGGUGACUGCUCGACUCCCAACCCCAGAGGAGAAGAUGAGGCAGCAGGCAGAGGCCAUCGCUGCUGAAAUAGUUCCUAUCAACAUUACAGGUGAGAAUUUUGAUCGCCAGGCCAGCUUUCGAAAAGUAGCUUCCAACACUGACUCCAUGUAUUGCGGCUCUCGGAACCUAAGCUGCCACAAGACAGUCACCAAGAUCCCUGUUGAUGCUAUCCAAAAACAAGACUUACCUGAGGGUCAGUCUUCUACAGAUGCCCGACUUGACUCCUCCCCCGGCCAACAGGAAGAAGAUGAACUCGCCAGGAAGAAGAAAGAGUCGUUGUCAAGAAAGAUCCGAGCCCCUAAAGGGCAGGGGAUAUCCAGUCUCAUGGCAUCCCUCACCUUGCCACGUGUCAACUCAUAUCAUGGCCUUGUCCUCUCCUCUGAGGUCCACAGUCUCCCCUGCAUGCCCACCAACUCCUCCUUGUACUCAGACGACAGCUGUGACAGCGUCUCGUACAGUACACUUAGCGCCUCCUCUUCCUGUUCCCAGGGAUUCCCCAACGACCAUCAGCCCGUGCUUCUCUUUGACCCCAUCUCAAGGGUCAUACCUCAGUCUCCUUCUUUAUCCAUUUCUCCCUCACAUCUCAGCAGCCCUGCCAAUCCUCAGAAGUGUGGGAGGUCUUCCCCCUGUGAUCAGGCUAGCCAGUUUCAAGAUGCAGCCCACAGCCACCCUAUUUCCUCCUCCAUCACAGUGUCUCAGGAUAGCUGUCUGACCCUUUCUGUCUGCAGCAGCGGUUUUUUAUACCACAGAGAAGAGUGCUUCGAGCCCACAUUUUCCAGCAUACCAGCUGGUGGCAACUGGAGUACCAAUGACCAGGAGACAAGUCCAGUUUCCCUAAUCUCCUCUGGUUGCGCUUCCCCUUGUAGCAUUGAUGCCAAUGCCGUGGUUUCUGAGGAUGUGACCCCAUCUACUUUGCAGACUCGAAGCAGAUCAUCCAGUACCUCCUCUUACCGCAGCAUCUUGCUUCGCAGGUCCAAGCGCCCACCUCCCCCACCUUUACGGUGCGACUCCCUCAGGCAUCAAACUGACCGCAGAAAGGCAUCUCGUCCAUUAUCCAGCCCCUCUCUGGAGCAAAGCUCUUCAUCAUCACCCCUGACCUCCCAUGAUCCCUGGGUACCAAGGAACCACACCAAACGCUUCCAAAGCGAGCUGCACAGUGGCUCAGUCACUACCUUUGAACCUUUAGCUGUAGACCGCCAGGCAGCUUCAUCAACCGCUGACCACCCUGCCCUCAUCCCUGGUUCUCCAGUCUCAAAAGAGGAGAGGGUCAAAUCCUCUGUUAUCACCAAUCCAGCUGCUUCUUCAAUCCCAAGCCUUCAACAUCAAUCCAACACUCCCCCUUCAGUCACCCCUAUCUCUUCUCUUGUCACAACAAGCCCAGGAGCCUUCUCUCUUCCCCAAACGUUCUUUUUCUCCCCCGGUUGUGCAUCCUCCAUACCCCUGUGUCCCAAAACAUUAAAAUCCCAUCCACCAGAGAGGGAGUCAUCUCUAUCCUCUCCAUUUUCUUCCACCCACUCCCUAUCAUCUUGCACCUCCUCUGACUUAUCUACCAAGUAUAUUCACACCCCUCCCCACUUUCUUCCGGCUCCUCCUCCUCUACCACCUUUAACUCUUACCCUUCCUCCUCCUUUGUCUCCACCUCUGCCACCUUUAUCUCGUACCUCUCCUCCUCUGCCACCUGUGUCUCCUAUUCCUCCUCCUCCGCCUCCUCUGCCGCCUACACCUCACCCCACCCCUCUAUUACCAUCUUUAUCCCGUCCCCCUCUUUGCUCACUUUCAUCUUGCAGUUAUUCUACUCUUUUUCCUUCACCCAUUUCUUCUUCCCUUUUGCCAUCAUCAAUUCUACCACCUACACCUUUUCCACCUCCUCCCCCUCUUCCUCUUACUUUCGCUGCACGGCCCCCUCCUCCUCCAUACUCCCAGUCCUCCCAUUAUGCUGCGCCAUCAAAGACAGUAUCAUCAACCCACUCUCCUCCUCCUUUUCCUGCUGCUAUCCCACACUCGUCUAAGGGGUGGUACUCUCUUUCAGACAUUAGUACAUCCCCCAAAACUUGUGUGAAAGGGUUAAACCUACUCCCAUGCCCCCUCGUCACUUCACAGGCUUUGCAGGGUGUCAAGCUUCGGUCCAUUACCAACCAGGAAGUUCCAAACCAAUCCAGUACCCCGCUUGUUGACUCCAAAGUUGUCUUGUUGUCAAGCAGCUGUGCUAAUGCUAAUAUUAACAGUCAUACAAAUGCUUAUCAGCAUGAUAUGAAAUCAGACGCAGCUUCUUAUAGCUUGGUCUCUACUGAGUCAAAGCAGCCUGGACUAUUGCCAUGUCCUGAAUUCAUGCCUGCAAAUGAGUCUCUUUACACUUCUUUCCAUAAUGCUUGCCAAGAUGGUCAGUCAGAACAUCAUAAUGAGGAGGGAGAUGGCAAAACAGUCAGUGAUGUAAAGCUUUAUCCAGGUGAGGCUGUGAACUUGAAGACAAAGACUGCUCUUCCAAACAAGCCAGACCUUAGCAUUGUUGGGGUAAUGGCGUCUCCAGAGUCCAUAGGAGGUCUGACAUCUGAUUUUGUGACAUGGAACCAUAUCACAUGUACCACGGUGGACAAAAUGGCACACAAACCUGACGACAUCUGUACGGUGUCACCUCCUGGUUCACCUCUUAUUCUACACAGAAAUCCAGAUCUGCCACUCCACAAUGAAUCAUUUCUACAGAACGUUGGCCCAAUGGGUACCAUUAAAUCCACAGAAUGUGUCACUGCACCCACAGGUAACACAUUUCACGGUGACACCUCACAGAGCAAUCAUAGCUGCCAGUCCUCAAGCAAGAUGGGCACGUCACCAUCCUCCACAACCAGGGAAACUCUGCACUCCGGUGAUGGUACCACGAUAAGGCCAUGCUGCACUUUAGAGAUAUUAAAAAAUCGUAGCACUUUAGCAUUCCAAACCAGUGUAGGGAUGCCACUUAGGCAAGAAGUGGACAGACAAUGUCAUGGUAAGAAGAUGAAGUUGUCACCAUUUGGGAACAAAGAAGAUCAGAAAGACCGACAAACACAAGAACAUGCCAAAUCAUGGAAGAGGACAGCAAGUAGACGCCUGUUGAUGACAUCAUUAGCUAGGAGUUCCUCCUCCUCGUCCUCAUCAUCAUCAUCAUCAUCGUCAUCCUCAGAUGAAGAGAUGGAAUCCCAGCUGCUGACAAAUGAGAGCUGCUCUCUGAGUAGUGUGCUGUCCCGAGACAACCUGCAGGGUUCAAUGCCAGAUCUCCUCAUUGAAGAGACAGCGGAGAAAGAGGAGGAGAGUGCCGCCAAGAUGAUGGAUACUUGCAAGCAUUUUGAUGCCAGUAAGUUGAUUGAAAGUGGAGCACAAACAACUGAGGACCUGUUCACUGUCAUUCACAGCACUGCAUUAUGGGAAGGAAUGGCUUGAUGGGCAUGCUGGUUGAUGUUUGCUGUCGAAGCAGAAGAUGUUUGGAAGACGACUCUUUCUGAUGAUUUCAGCCGACCACCGACCUCACCCGGUGGCACAAGCUUUGACUUUGGGAACGCUCAAAAGUCAGAGAUCAUCAAAGAGUGAAGGCCUCAAGGCGCUACUGCUGAGGAAAGGGAGUUGAACAAACUCACCCUCUGGGAUGUUGGCUGUGGAGCGCCCUGGUGCCUUUGGCCUUAAACAAGCCAACGUUCACACCACACACUUGUUGGAGACCUUGUGUCAAUCCACUCUUGAUGUUCCACUGAGACAUUUGGGCAAUGAGGAUGCAAAGCACGAUGUGUUCCAAGCAGAAGACGUCAAACGUCAGGUUUUACUCUUCAUUUGGGUCAAGGAGAAGGAACCGCAGCCACUUUACUGUCGGAAACUUCACCCUUUGCUUGCUUAACAGAAUUGCUCUGGCGACAUCCAGUGGACACAUUUAGACCAGCUGUUUCUUUCAUUAAAAAAAAAUGUUUUUUUACUUGGCAAACUCAUCACGCGGACCGGAUCAAAUGUGUCAGUGAGCCCGUGUGACACCUCUGAGGUCAAGGGAAUAGAAGGUCAUGUGUUUGGUGCUCACAUGCCCUUGGGAUGCAGAUAUUGCCUAAAUAUAAGGGAAUUUAGGAUAUGGAAGUCCGAGACUACAGAAGGAUUACAAUCAUUUAAAGGGGAAUUCCCUAUUUUUGACUUAGAAAUGUUAUUCUGCAGUGUUGGAUACUUGUGGUGGACAAUGUCAGAGCGUCCAAUCGUAAAGUUCAUGCAGUUUUGUGUUUUGCAAUCAUGUUGUGGCCAGCAAAUCUAUUUAUUGUUUAUCAAUGUCUUUUCCAACGUGACUAAAAAAUAAAUAAAUAUAUAUAUAUAUUUAUAUAUACAUCCAUUUUCUACCGCUUGUCCCUUUUGGGCUCGCGGGGGGUGCUAGAGCCUAUCUCAGCUGCAUUUGGGCGGAAUGCUGUGUACACCCUGGACAAGUCACCACACACUAGGGACCAUUUAGUGUUGCCAAUCAACCUAUCCCCAGGUGUAUGUCUUUGGAGG